GUGUGUGUGUGUGUGUGUUCCAGCCAUAGGAUGCCACAGUAUUGGCUGCUUCUUACUCUGGCCCCCCAUUGGACGUCCUGAUCGGUCAGGGGCGGGACGAUCGGUUCCUGUCGGCCAAUCAGCUGCUGCCUGACAACCUGAUUGCCGUCUGCUCCGAGAAGAAGAUCCCCGUCGUCUUCAGACUGCAGCCGGGAUACGACCACAGCUACUUCUUCAUCUACUCCUUCAUGAGCGAUCACAUCAAACAUCACGCAAAGUUCCUGAACGCCUGAACGCACCACGGGACAGGAAGCUCAGCCCGGACUUCCUGCAGGAUUCAGUUCAAUAAAAUCACUUCUGGUUUCUAAAUCAUAAUGAAGUCACUUCUUUAAGUUUGAGCAGCACUUACCUGAGGGUUUAAAUAACAGGACUAUUAGUUUUGGAUCGUGGAGCCACAGGAAAUGUUUGCUGAGACCUGAUUGGACGUUGCAGAGCAGUGACUCAGCGGAGAUUCUCUAAAUAAAAUCCUCAGAUAAUC